CUAACUUGCCAGUCGUACGUGAAAUCUUCCUUCGGGUUGAGAGUAAAGUGGCGCACGGGUGAGUAACGCGUGGGUAAUCUACCCAGUGGCUCGGGAUAACCGGCCGAAAGGCUGGCUAAUACCGGAUAAAGUCACCGUACACGAGUUCGGUGACCAAAGGAGGCGUAAGCUUCCACCGUUGGAUGGGCCCGCGUACCAUUAGCUAGUUGGUAGGGUAACAGCCUACCAAGGCUACAAUGGUUAGCUGGUCUGAGAGGACGAUCAGCCACACUGGAACUGAGACACGGUCCAGACUCCUACGGGAGGCAGCAGUGGGGAAUAUUGCGCAAUGGGGGCAACCCUGACGCAGCGACACCCCGUGAGCGAUGAAGGCCUUCGGGUCGUAAAGCUCUGUCAGGUGGGAAGAAACCUUCGCGGACGAAUGAUCCGCGGAAUUGACGGUACCACCAGAUGAAGCACCGGCUAACUCCGUGCCAGCAGCCGCGGUAACACGGAGGGUGCGAGCGUUGUUCGGAAU
rnacentral:rRNA from 1 species